rfam:Gloeomargarita lithophora Alchichica-D10 chromosome.
UUUUCAGUGAAUCUUUGACCGCAGACCGCAGGUGCAUCGAGCCUAAAUUUCCUGCCGAGGUCAACAGCCUUUCUGCCCGUGGGGGGAGAAUUUGCUGUGACCCGGCCAACGACCGGGUUUUUUGUUGGGGGUA